rnacentral:misc_RNA from 1 species
ACGUAUCUCUGGCGGCCCGUUCGCCCUGCUCCGUCCGAGAGGCCGUGCAGCGGGCGUCUGGCGCUGUCCAAACCUUACACACCCACCGUGCACACUCACGGCAAAAAGGCCUUGGGCGAGAGCCCCGGGCUGGAUGGCCGUUCCACAAACCCCGAACCUUAUGAACGAACGCGGCCUCUGUUGUCGCCUAACAAACGAAA